CCUACGGGAGGCUGCAGUGGGGAAUAUUGGACAAUGGGGGGAACCCUGAUCCAGCCAUGCCGCGUGUGUGAAGAAGGCCCUCGGGUUGUAAAGCACUUUCAGUGAGGAAGAACGCCUGGUGGUUAAUACCCAUCAGGAAAGACAUCACUCACAGAAGAAGCACCGGCUAACUCCGUGCCAGCAGCCGCGGUAAUACGGAGGGUGCGAGCGUUAAUCGGAAUUACUGGGCGUAAAGCGCGCGUAGGUGGCUUGAUAAGCCGGUUGUGAAAGCCCCGGGCUCAACCUGGGAACGGCAUCCGGAACUGGCAAGCUAGAGUGCAGGAGAGGAAGGUAGAAUUCCCGGUGUAGCGGUGAAAUGCGUAGAGAUCGGGAGGAAUACCAGUGGCGAAGGCGGCCUUCUGGACUGACACUGACACUGAGGUGCGAAAGAGUGGGUAGCAAACAGGAUUAGAUACCCUAGUAGUC
rnacentral:rRNA from 1 species